rnacentral:rRNA from 1 species
UACGUAGGGUGCGAGCGUUAAUCGGAAUUACUGGGCGUAAAGCGUGCGCAGGCGGUUUUGUAAGACAGGCGUGAAAUCCCCGGGCUCAACCUGGGAAUGGCGCUUGUGACUGCAAAGCUGGAGUGCGGCAGAGGGGGAUGGAAUUCCGCGUGUAGCAGUGAAAUGCGUAGAUAUGCGGAGGAACACCGAUGGCGAAGGCAAUCCCCUGGGCCUGCACUGACGCUCAUGCACGAAAGCGUGGGGAGCAAACAGGAUAGAA